UGGUGGCGAUAGCGAAGAGGUCACACCCGUUCCCAUACCGAACACGGAAGUUAAGCUCUUCAGCGCCGAUGGUAGUUGGGGGCUGUCCCCCUGUGAGAGUAGGACGUUGCCAGGCG
rnacentral:rRNA from 1 species